GACAGAGGGUGCAAACGUUGCUCGGAAUACUGGGCGUAAAGCGCGUGUAGGCUGACCGGAAAGUCGGGCGUGAAAGCCCUGGGCUCAACCCAGGAACUGCACUCGAAACUCCCGGUCUAGAGUGGUGGAGAGGGAAGUGGAAUUCCUGGUGUAGAGGUGAAAUUCGUAGAUAUCAGGAGGAACACCAGUGGCGAAGGCGGCUUCCUGGACACCAACUGACGCUGAGAAGCGAAAGCAUGGGGAGCGAACAGG
rnacentral:rRNA from 1 species